rnacentral:lncRNA from 1 species
CUCUCUGAGAAGCCACGCCCACCUCCUGCUAUGCUGCAAGGCUCUGGCACAUCCCGCGCGGUCCUAAUGCUUGAUGGGUUCCAGCAGACUGAGGACGUGGGUUUGGGACUUUCGGACCACGGCGAGGUGAGCUUGGCCCGGAGCGGCAGAAGUGGGCGAGGUUCGCGUGGGAGGAGGGACAUCGACUUAGUUUUUCUUGAGAGAUCUGACCGUGCCGUGGCUGCAGACCAUCUUCGCGUCAGCCACCGCCCUGGAUCACGCCAAGUGGGUUCCCAGCCCCUGCCGCCUCGUGAACUCCGCCAAAGUCAGCCACGGGAGAUUACCAUAUUCUAAAACUUCACCUGGACCGUUGGUGUGAACGCUGGGACGAAGAUCCAGGAGUUAGGUCGGGAUGUAGAGUGGUUUUGGGCGGCGAGCGCCCUUGCUCAGGCUGGCUGCAAGGUGCUGCUUUGGGCCGGGUAUCCGGCUGAGGGGACCCUGUUGCUGGGGGUGCUUGGCCUAAUGGUUGCAUCUGGCUUGCAAGGUUAAGUUUAAGGACGCCCUCCUGCCCCAAAUCUAUGGUUUGCGCAAUCACUUAUUGCCUACGUUUUAGUUCCUAUCCGUGAACAUUUGGAAUUCUUGAGCUGGUGUGAAUUUCCUGUAACUCUUUUAAACAAUUUAAUAAGUUACUGUCUUGUCAGGGUUUUAAGUUUUUAAGCGAUAUUACAUUUUUAAGUUUUGUAGACACCGCCCUCCCUAUGACUCUUUCAGUGAUAUGUAUAGCCCAACCAUAAAAAUCAAUUUAAAAACCAAACCAACCCAAGGGGCCAUGAUUGCUCUCAGAGCCAUCAGGACCAUCCUGUCUCAUUUGUGCUGGAGCCUGACUGCCGGUCAAGAGUUCUUGGCAUGCUGUUUGUCAGUCCAUGAUUGUAAAUAAAUAUAAAUCUUGUGCCCAGGGGCGGGGGAAACAGGAUUAUUAUUAUUAUUAUUAUUAUUAUUAUUAUUAUUAUUAUUUGAGGGUCCAUAAUAGUAGUUUCUUUGUGUGUUUGCUUUUUAAAAUUUCCGACAGUUUUAAAUAAAGAACUUAUACCACAUAACCAAAGUAGGAGCGUGAGAAAAUUAAAAGCCACACUAACCCUCGUUGAGAGUGUUGGGACAUCUACAGAGUGUAUAGAAUCGCCUUUAUCUCACAAACUCUGCGGCUUUAUCAUUUAGGAUAAGACUGAAUUGAACCCUAAAUCAGCUUCCGUGAUAAAACCGAGAGAUGGAGAAUUACUCAGCACAUUUUAUAUUGAUAAAAGUAAGUGAAAGCUA